UACGGAGGAUCCGAGCGUUAUCCGGAUUUAUUGGGUUUAAAGGGUGCGUAGGGGGCCUGUUAAGUCAGGGGUGAAAGACGGUAGCUCAACUAUCGCAGUGCCCUUGAUACUGAUGGGCUUGAAUGAACUAGAGGUAGGCGGAAUGUGACAAGUAGCGGUGAAAUGCAUAGAUAUGUCACAGAACACCAAUUGCGAAGGCAGCUUACUAUGGUUUUAUUGACACUGAGGCACGAAAGCGUGGGGAUCAAACAGG
rnacentral:rRNA from 1 species